AAAUUGAAGAGUUUGAUCAUGGCUCAGAUUGAACGCUGGCGGCAGGCCUAACACAUGCAAGUCGAACGGUAACAGGAAGCAGCUUGCUGCUUUGCUGACGAGUGGCGGACGGGUGAGUAAUGUCUGGGAAACUGCCUGAUGGAGGGGGAUAACUACUGGAAACGGUAGCUAAUACCGCAUAACGUCGCAAGACCAAAGAGGGGGACCUUCGGGCCUCUUGCCAUCGGAUGUGCCCAGAUGGGAUUAGCUUGUUGGUGGGGUAACGGCUCACCAAGGCGACGAUCCCUAGCUGGUCUGAGAGGAUGACCAGCCACACUGGAACUGAGACACGGUCCAGACUCCUACGGGAGGCAGCAGUGGGGAAUAUUGCACAAUGGGCGCAAGCCUGAUGCAGCCAUGCCGCGUGUAUGAAGAAGGCCUUCGGGUUGUAAAGUACUUUCAGCGGGGAGGAAGGGAGUAAAGUUAAUACCUUUACUCAUUGACGUUACCCGCAGAAGAAGCACCGGCUAACUCCGUGCCAGCAGCCGCGGUAAUACGGAGGGUGCAAGCGUUAAUCGGAAUUACUGGGCGUAAAGCGCACGCAGGCGGUUUGUUAAGUCAGAUGUGAAAUCCCCGGGCUCAACCUGGGAACUGCAUCUGAUACUGGCAAGCUUGAGUCUCGUAGAGGGGGGUAGAAUUCCAGGUGUAGCGGUGAAAUGCGUAGAGAUCUGGAGGAAUACCGGUGGCGAAGGCGGCCCCCUGGACGAAGACUGACGCUCAGGUGCGAAAGCGUGGGGAGCAAACAGGAUUAGAUACCCUGGUAGUCCACGCCGUAAACGAUGUCGACUUGGAGGUUGUGCCCUUGAGGCGUGGCUUCCGGAGCUAACGCGUUAAGUCGACCGCCUGGGGAGUACGGCCGCAAGGUUAAAACUCAAAUGAAUUGACGGGGGCCCGCACAAGCGGUGGAGCAUGUGGUUUAAUUCGAUGCAACGCGAAGAACCUUACCUGGUCUUGACAUCCACAGAACUUUCCAGAGAUGAGAUUGUGCCUUCGGGAACUGUGAGACAGGUGCUGCAUGGCUGUCGUCAGCUCGUGUUGUGAAAUGUUGGGUUAAGUCCCGCAACGAGCGCAACCCUUAUCCUUUGUUGCCAGCGGUCCGGCCGGGAACUCAAAGGAGACUGCCAGUGAUAAACUGGAGGAAGGUGGGGAUGACGUCAAGUCAUCAUGGCCCUUACGACCAGGGCUACACACGUGCUACAAUGGCGCAUACAAAGAGAAGCGACCUCGCGAGAGCAAGCGGACCUCAUAAAGUGCGUCGUAGUCCGGAUUGGAGUCUGCAACUCGACUCCAUGAAGUCGGAAUCGCUAGUAAUCGUGGAUCAGAAUGCCACGGUGAAUACGUUCCCGGGCCUUGUACACACCGCCCGUCACACCAUGGGAGUGGGUUGCAAAAGAAGUAGGUAGCUUAACCUUCGGGAGGGCGCUUACCACUUUGUGAUUCAUGACUGGGGUGAAGUCGUAACAAGGUAACCGUAGGGGAACCUGCGGUUGGAUCACCUCCUUACCUUAAAGAAGC
rnacentral:rRNA from 1 species